rnacentral:rRNA from 1 species
UAGGGAAUCUUCCACAAUGGACGCAAGUCUGAUGGAGCAACGCCGCGUGAGUGAAGAAGGUUUUCGGAUCGUAAAGCUCUGUUGUUGGUGAAGAAGGAUAGAGGCAGUAACUGGUCUUUAUUUGACGGUAAUCAACCAGAAAGUCACGGCUAACUACGUGCCAGCAGCCGCGGUAAUACGUAGGUGGCAAGCGUUGUCCGGAUUUAUUGGGCGUAAAGCGAGCGCAGGCGGAAUGAUAAGUCUGAUGUGAAAGCCCACGGCUCAACCGUGGAACUGCAUCGGAAACUGUCAUUCUUGAGUGCAGAAGAGGAGAGUGGAAUUCCAUGUGUAGCGGUGGAAUGCGUAGAUAUAUGGAAGAACACCAGUGGCGAAGGCGGCUCUCUGGUCUGCAACUGACGCUGAGGCUCGAAAGCAAGGGUAGCGAACAGG